rnacentral:lncRNA from 1 species
CGGUAUCCUUGCUUUAUGUUUUCUGGUUAUCGUAGUUAAUCCUGCACACUUAACUCAAUAAUAUGGAUUAGAUCACUUAACCCACCAAUUGAUUAUAUCAUCAAAAUCCGAGAUUCAACAAUCUCCCCCUUUUUGAUGAUGACAAUCAAUUGAUGACGGAGUUAAACAUAACUCCCCCUAUCUAUAUGCCAUAUUAUGAGAAGAUAAAAAAACACUUGAAUUCCAUCCCAUUGGAUUCAAGCAUAACCCGAUAA